AUUGAACGCUGGCGGCAUGCUUUACACAUGCAAGUCGAACGGCAGCGCGGGCUUCGGCCUGGCGGCGAGUUGCGAACGGGUGAGUAAUGCAUCGGAACGUGCCCAGUAGUGGGGGAUAGCACGGCGACAGCCGGAUUAAUACCGCAUACGACCUGAGGGUGAAAGCGGGGGACCGAAAGGCCUCGCGCUAUUGGCGCGGCCGAUGUCGGAUUAGCUAGUUGGUGGGGUAAAGGCUUACCAAGGCGACGAUCCGUAGCUGGUCUGAGAGGACGACCAGCCACACUGGGACUGAGACACGGCCCAGACUCCUACGGGAGGCAGCAGUGGGGAAUUUUGGACAAUGGGGGCAACCCUGAUCCAGCCAUGCCGCGUGCGGGAAGAAGGCCUUCGGGUUGUAAACCGCUUUUGUUCGGGAAGAAAUCCUGUGGGCUAAUACCCCGGGGGGAUGACGGUACCGGAAGAAUAAGCACCGGCUAACUACGUG
rnacentral:rRNA from 1 species